CUGCCAUUAGAGUAACUGUUUAAGCAGAUUUAAGGGCAGUCCCAUGACGUUUGUGGCACUGGUCUGAAGACUAGGGGACCCCUGAGUGGCAUGUGACCUUGGACAAGCCACUCCUUUUCCGGACUUCGGUUUCCCGCCUCAAAAUAAAUGGAGAGAUUGAUCUACACUCGCCCUUCCAGCUUCGCACUCCUCGGCGCGGGGCUGGGCAGAGACCCUUGCCGGGCUCCCAGCCUCCCUCUCCGGAAAUGUGAUAAGAAGACGGACUCCGGGGCCUAGAAAACCUGGACUUGGCCCUUGGCGGACAGCGGUGGACACAGCCGGCAGGGCAAAUUUGGAGCGGAGGGAUCGGCGGUCCGCGCGCAGGAUCUGCUGGGAGUUGUAGUCCGUAUCCUGCCUUGGAGCCAGCUGCGCCUCCCUUUCUUGGUGGCUCUUUGGUUUGGGCCCCGCUGGGCUGCCAGUUGCGAGGCGGCCCCGUUCAUCUUAGGGGGAAACCUCUUCUCUUCUGCCCGGCCAACCCACGGGCCUGGGUUUGUCACUGCCCCGGGACGCCAUAGCCUGAUCGAGAAUUGCCCCUUGAGUUAGAAGAUGGAGGAGGGACCUGAAAAAAGUGGUCUCUCGACAGCGAGGGCGGGGGAGGGCCUCGUCGGCCUCUCCUCAGUGUCUCCAGCGCCUAGUGAGUGGUCUUUUGAAUGACUGAAGGGUUGGUGAGGCAAGGUUUAUUGGGGGACACCCGUCCAUCUCUUCUUGAUCGCUAAACGAGGCUUGACCUGGGCUGAAAGAAAUGCAGUAAGGAGCCACUUUCUCAGCUUCCUGGGAACUGGGACCCUGGAACCCAGUAAAGACUGUUAUUCCAGACUUAGGAAUGGCCUGAGCAUAAGCCUGAAGGCGUGGAGCUGGUCUCGAGGCUUACCCUUCCGCUUCACCAAAAACACCUUCUCCAAGAGCCAGAGUGAUCAUUUGAAAAGAUCAUCCAGAUUUGAACUGAGGGGCAUUGCUGGCUUGAAAAUGAUCCAAGAACAAAAGAAACACCUCUCAAAGGUCAUCCACCAAACAAACAAAAACUGAGAAACACUCUCUGUUGUUGUUGUUUUCUCCUCAGGAGUGAAUCUGGGCUCUAACUUUGGAUUUUCAGUAAGUCAUAUCCUAUCUAUGUAAAGCCUUCCAUUUUCCCCUCCUAUGUUUUGAUUCAUCUGAUCUGUAACCCUUUACAUCCAAUUAACCACUCAUGUCUAUGACUUUUCCGUUUGCCAUGUUGUAAUUCUCAGACUGUCCUGAAUUGAAUUAUUAGGAAGUGCAGGCCUUGGAAAUGAGGCCACGAUAAAAGGAAAAUACUCUUGAGUUCCCUUAUUUCCCUUAUGAAAUAAAGCAAAUUUAAGCAGUA